CAGGUGCCGCUGCCCAGCGGCGA
rnacentral:misc_RNA from 1 species